rnacentral:rRNA from 1 species
CCUACGGGAGGCAGCAGUAGGGAAUAUUGCUCAAUGGGGGAAACCCUGAAGCAGCAACGCCGCGUGGAUGAUGAAGGUUUUCGGAUUGUAAACUCCUUUUGUUAGAGAAGAUAAUGACGGUAUCUAACGAAUAAGCACUGGACAAUUCCGUGCCAGCAACCGCGGUAAUACGGCGGGCGCAAGCGCUACUCGGAAUCACUGGGCGUAAAGUGCGCGUAGGCGGGUUAGCAAGUCAGAUGUGAAAGCCUAUGGCUUAACCAUAGAACUGCAUUGGAAACUGGUAUUCUAGAGUAUGGGAGAGGGAGGUGGAAUUCUAGGUGUAGGGGUGAAAUGCGUAGAGAUCGAGAGGAAUACUCGUUGCGAAGGCGACCUUCUGGAACAUAACUGACGCUGAUGUGCGAAAGCGUGGGGAGCAAACAGGAUUAGAUACCCGGGUAGUC